rnacentral:rRNA from 1 species
UGAGGAAUUUUCCGCAAUGGGCUAACGCCUGACGGAGCGACACAGCGUGAAGGAUGAAGGGUUUCGGCUCGUAAACUUCUUUUCUGAAGGAAUAAAGUUUGAAGUUACUUCAGGAAUAAGCAACGGCUAACUACGUGCCAGCAGCCGCGGUAAUACGUAGGUUGCAAGCGUUAUCCGGAAUUACUGGGCGUAAAGCGUCUGUAGGUGGCGAGGUAAGUAAGGGAUGAAAUCUCCGGGCCCAACCCGGAAUGCGUUCUUUAAACUGCUUUGCUAGAGAAAUGUAGAGGUGAAUGGAAUUCCUGGUGUAGGGGUAAAAUCCGUUGAUAUCAGGAGGAACGCUAAAAGCGAAGGCAGUUCACUGGACAUUUCUGACACUGAGAGACGAAAGCGUGGGGAGCAA